rnacentral:rRNA from 1 species
UACGUAGGGGGCAAGCGUUGUCCGGAUUUAUUGGGCGUAAAGCGCUCGCAGGUGGUUCGCUGCGUCGUGCGUGAAAGACCCCGGCUCAACUGGGGAGGGUCGUGCGAUACGGGCGAACUGGAGGCCAGUAGGGGGAUGCGGAAUUCCGGGUGUAGUGGUGGAAUGCGUAGAGAUCGGCAGGAACACCCAGGGGGAAACCAGUCGACUGGGCAUCUACUGACGCUGAGGUGCGAGAGCGUGGGGAGCGAACCGG